GGGAAAGUGAGAUUCUUUAUUGGAUUGUUUUGGUCUUUGCUCUUUUGAGAAGGAAAACAUUAGACCUACUCUUCAUUGCUCUUGGGGGAGGGGGCAUUGUUCUGAUAAUAAAUCCAGUAACCGUAGGGUUCAGUCAGAUUAGAGUUAAAUCAGUAACUUUGGAAAUGAGAAUGAACUGAAGAGAUACAAGUUCAUUAGGAAGGACAGCUUCCCUCUCUCACACACAACCCCCUCCCCCAACACACAGAGGCACCCACAGGCCAGCGAAAUGAACAAACAGAUUUCACCCUUUCCACAGAGUACUUGAGCACCUGCCAAACUGCUGGGCAGGAGUCACAAGUUUUUGUCCCUUUCCCACUGUGUGACCUUAGGCAAGUUACUUAACCCCUCUGAAUUAAAUUGGCGAUAAUUCCUGACCUGGACAACUGUAGAAGAGGAAUGGGGAUAGGAACUAAAGGUGAUCUGUGACUUGUCUCCUCCGGGGUGUUAAAAUCUUUUUGGUUAUUCCCUGAUGGAUUAAAAAACGUGGGCAGAGGCAUGGUCAGCCUGGCUGCAGUAAGGAAUGAUCUGGGAAAUUCUGGAGGACUCUGGCUAACUCCUGACAAGCCAACCCUGGAAGCAGGGUAUAGGAUACUGUUUUUCACAAAUUGGAAGUCUCUGGCAACCCUGCAUCGAUCAAGUGUAUUGGCACCAAUUUUCCAACAGCAUUAUUUUUAAAUGAAGGUAUGUACAUUUUUUUUCAGACAUAUUGCUGUUGCACACUUAAUAGACUACAGUAUAAUAUAACUUUUAUGCACAGGGGAAACCAAAAAAUUGGUAUGACUUGCUUUAUCAAGAUGAUAGUCUAUCAGGACGGUCUAUAACAGAAUCCACAAUAUCGUUGAGGGAGGUGUACCUCUACUGAAUUUUUGAAUACUAUGUGCUGUCCAGCAGACGUGAGCUCCAUGGGAAGGAGGUUUUAUUUGCUUCAUUCACCACUGUAUCCCUGGAGCCUGGCACAUAAUUCAGUGAUAGUUAUUGAUCAGUUAAUUAAUGCUUGUUGAGGUCCUGUGCUUAAAACUUUCUAUUUUCCUUCAUUGGGAUCCCUAUUUUGCAGACGAGGAGUCUCCCGAUCAGAAAAGAAGAAUUUGCACAAGGUUAUACUCUAAGGACUUAGAGUAUUUCAAAGGGCAGGGCUCAGAAAAUAGGAGGCAUUGCUCAUUGCAAUGAAGAGCUAAUUCACAGGAAGCCAUUUCUUAAUUCUUUUCUUCAGGAUGGUAACAGGCUGCCCCUCUGCAUCCAGAGCUCAGGCCCGGCUCCAAAGCUGAGACGUACUUUGCUUUCAAACAAGAAGGUAUGUUCCAUACCAAGAGUUAAACUCAGGAACUUAUGGCCUGGGAGCACUUGGGAGAGGGAACAGCUCAGGCCUCCUACCCAUGCUGCACUGCCCAGGAUUGGCUAAUGGCACAGGGGUAAUUCAGAGGUGGACUGCACUUUCAGGCCGCCAGGCACCAACAUCCACCCUGCCCCCCGGCCCUGGUUCCCCAAAGCUUCUAUCUCAGAGGGCAAGUGAAACAGAAGAACAGGGAGAAGGUUCAAACUCCAGUUGGGAGUAAAGUUGGCUUUAGGAAGUAUGUCACACAUCUCCCGCCUCCAUCCUUGAGCUGAGUUUGACAGUUGACAAAUGGUUCACAGUGGACCUCAUAGAAUCAAGGCAAAAUGACUUCAUCAUUUAAUUCCAAAACCCCUUCAUCCAUGUCUCUCCCUGCUUGUUACCUGUAAGCUCGCUGGGAGCAGUGGCUCAUCUGCUCCUUCUUGAGCCACGCACAGCAGUCUACAACAGUCCAGCGGGACAAGCACAGCAUGGGGAGCCAGCACUGCUUCGCUUACCAGUCUUUGGGCAAGGUUCUUGCCCCUUCUGCACUUCACUUUCCUCCUCUGUGAACUGGGACUAAAAUGGUGUCUUUGUUAUAGGGUUGAUGAGGGUUACUUGUAUUAGUUUAUUUAAGAUGCUUAUUACAAGCCUGGCAUCUUGUUAAGUGCGUAAAAUGAACACUGUAUGACUAACUAUUGACUAAUCCUGCUCCCAUUUCUCUAACCCAAGGUUGAGAGGCUAGCCUGAAGUCAUCCAGCAAAUGAGGGUAAGAGCCAGAAGCCCAAGCCUCUGCCCUUCAAAGGCUAAGUGAUGCCAUUUCAGAGACUCCCUCAACUGUACUAGCAUGUCAUUAAUUCAACAAAUAUUUAUAAAGGUCUGCUGUACUUCAGACACUGCCCUAGGCUGAGCAAAGACAGUCAAGGUCACCAGAUUUGGGAGCCUUCAUUAUAGUUGGCAAAUCUGGCAAUAAAUAAGCAACAAAUGUACCUUUACAUAGUGCUGUGAAGGAAACGGAUGGCCUAUCUUAUAUACAUACAGUAUGGAUCCUUGUUUUAUAUCACUAAGAUGGACAGGAUCUGUCUAGGACAAAUCAGAGAAAAGCUUGCCUUUUGGCAUCUGACUGGCCAGGGUUUGAACUCUAGCUCCAUUGUGACCUUGGUCUGAUAAAUUACCCUUUCUGCCCCUCAAGCCUGUAUAUUCUCCCAUACAGCAUUCUGCUAAGGUUGUGAGAAUUAAGGUAUAAUACAACAUAAAAUCUCAGCGUUUACAGUUUUUCACACCAGGGAGGUCAGGCUGGAAUCCUUGACGAGGCCAGGUGCAACUAACCUUGUACUUUUAUGUCCUUUGUCAGUGUUAGUUGAGAAGGGAGUUCAAUAGGAAUGGGGAAUUAUCUGGAGGACUGUUGGGAAGAUUCUUAGGGGACGCAGCUCCUCCUCAUUAGAUAAUGAACAGAUACCAUUCUUUGCUCCAAGUAUACUUUCAAUGGAGAAAUGUUCUUGCCAUCACUCAAAAUUUAAUGCAGUCUAGUAAGAAUUACAAGUUACCCUCUAAAACCCAGUAAUCUCCAAAGUUGGGUACAGAGAAAAAAUAUUAGAACUCCUACUUAUAUUUAUUUUUCAUAUAAUUGCUUUUUAAUAUCUAUUUUUGUGUCUUAUGAUUACACAAUAUAUGGGGUACAGUAGUACAGGUAUAUAAUUUAUCAACACAUAGGGGUAUGCAUGAUCAAAAAUUUCUUACUGACGGGUGUGCAGUCAGAAAUGGUGAAAGGCCACAUGGAGGCUAAGGUAGGAAACGAAGGUCAGCCCUCAUUUUACUCGCCCAACAUAAAGUAAGAAAGUGCAUUUUUCCAUAAAGUAGCCUGCAGGCAUCUCACUGCAAUAAUAAACCGCAGGGUGAAAGAAAGGACUGUUUCUUAAUCUCAAAUUAGUGUUCUUUCCUCUCUAAGUUUCGGGCCUAGGGGGGCAGAGGUGGGGAAAGAGUGUAAGCAGAAAUUAAGUACACGCUGCAAACUAAAAAAUCCAACUUUUGGAUAAGCCAUUAGACAGACCAGAUCAUUAGCCUGAAAAAUAUGCACAAGACAGGACAGGCUCCAGCAGUUUCAGAUUUCUCUGGACAGGAAACCUCCUCCACGUAGUUCUCUCUCACUGCCUCAUUUGUAGGAAAUUGUUCCUCACUCAUUUCCCACUGUACUACAGCAGAGCUUGUCCUUAGAUGUGGCCUUCCUCUCCCCAACUCACACAUCUAUCAUCAUACAUACCAGCUUCUUUCAAACAGCUCAUUUCACCUCCAAAAAGGUGACACCAUCUAGAACCAAAAAUGAAGCAGCAAAAUGUUGAAAAUAAAAAUAAAGCGGACUUUAUUUAGAAGAUAAAGGUGGUGGUAUCAGUUUUGGUUAAUGAAGUUGGGCUCAACUGUUUUAACAGGUCUUUUACUGCCAUCACAGACUGGCAUGCCAAGGGCAUUCUGAAUGCCAAUUACAGAUUGAAGUUGUCUAAAAAUCCAAGAUGCUAUCAAAAGCUGAUGGAGUUUGAAUUUUUCUUCAACUUGGACCAACACACUUUUAUAUAAGAGUGUCUAGAUUACUUGGUUCUGAAAAUGAAAAUACUACACUGAGCAAUUCCCCUCCUCCACAAGUCCCUAAGGCAAUGUUGCAGUUGCCUCUGACAGCCAAAAUCUCAACAUUUCAACAGAAGGGAGCUGGGAGGAACUGGGGAAAUGAAAAGCAAAAUUAAUAAAUGUAAUUGUAAUUGAUACAGGCAGCUGCCACUUGUGGCAAACCAAAGCCUAGUCUGAUGCCCAUUUUCUUCACAUUUCACUGACAUCUUACCAGACAGUAAUGACAUUCUUGAAGGAAUGUGCCAAGACUAGAGUGGGGAAGGCCCAGACAGUGAGUGGACAGAAUGCAUUUUGCAUCCAGUUGCCUUAGGUGGUACAGUUGAUUAAGGACAAAUACCCAGUGGGAAGACCUACUAGCCAAAGGUAACUAGAAAAGAGGAUAAUAAAUGCAUAACCAGUGCAAAGAAAACUGCGAGGCACCAAGACCACAAACCAACCAGCCCACUUUCCUCCUCUCCAUCACUGAACGGAUCUGGGAGAAAGCAUUAGUAACAGCACUUGUCAACUGCUUCCCUGGAACAAAACAUGACAAAACACACGGAAGGUUUUGUUUUCGUUAUGGUUCUCGGUGUACUUUAUUCUCCUGCUGUCUAGCUAAGCAGCCCACACAGGACAGAAAUGGGUAGCACUGAGGAAUGAUCAGAUUUUUUUUCUCCCCAAUAUUCCUGCCCCCUCCCUAAGCCCUGACCAACCCUUAUCAGGAAUGGUUAGUAGAUCAUCCUUUCUGUCAAGGAACAACUAAAAUUUAAACAAGGCAUUGGAAGGCCAGGUCUCUUCAUAGGGCUUAGGAGCUGGUGUGAGCUUUUUAUUCACAAUGGAGCGUCUUUCCUUCAAACACCUGGAUUUUUUUUUUUUUUUUUUUUUGUACACUGGUUCAUAGAUCGGCACUUGACUUUGAACCUGGCACCAAAAGGCACAAUAUCUGAUACCCUGUACAAGAGCUAUUAGAGAUGCUGCCAUAUGGAUGGGCUAAACUGAGCCAAUCCCACUUAUGAAUGGAAGGCCUGAACAGGGAGUUGGCAGAGAGAAAAAAAUGUAAGCCCAUAUUUUUUGCUAGAAUGGAAGUAAAAGUGGGAAGUUAAGGUCUUAGUUUUUAAUCCUCCAAAUACCAGGAAGCAAUUUAAAAUCUUCCUUGGUGCUUUUGAAAGCAGCAUAUUCAAAACGCCAGCAAAAACUCCUAAUAAUUGCAAAACCAAAAGGGGAUCAAAGCUCACCGACAUCCCUCCUUAUUGCUGAGAGAGGCUAAAACCAAAAUUCAAGGUGCCCUGUUCCCUUGUAAAAGGGAAAAAAAUUGUCUGAUUUAUCGUUAUCAUAGCACAUCACACUUUAAACAAAAAUAUUAAAGCGUGUGACCAGGGUAAUGUUUUGACACCAUUUUAUUAAUCUUCAACUUCAGUGGAAAAAUAUAACCUUUUCAAGUGCCAUUUUCAUCACAAGAGUUCUAAUGUAUAUAUGUGUGUGUGUGUAUAUACACACACACACAUAUGUAUUCUUUUGAUCACUUGGUUUUGAUGUGCAGCAAGAGACCAAUACCUCAUUAUAAUCAAUCAAAUAAAUGAGAACAGAAGGCCAAGCAGUUUCCAAAUGGUUAUUUUAUCAGAUUGUUUAUAAACAUUAAAUUUAUCCUUGUUUGCAAUCCAAAAUAGUUACCUGAAGUUUGCUGUUUGUAUGUGUUUUGUUUUUAGUAUAUGUUUUCUAAACUCUUUGGCACAAUUUUCUGGGGGCGUUCAGACUACCACAAUACACGUCAGGAGGGAACUUUUCUUUUGUGCUGCCAAUUCUGAGUAUUUAAAUUUUGGUUUGUUUGGGUUGUGGCUUUCUUUUGAAGUCUGCAUUCUUUAUUUGUAACAAUGUAUUUUUAUUUUUUCUAUAUCCUCUAACUCCAGAGUUUGUUUUUUCUCCCCCCACCCCCCCCCCCCCACUUCUACAUUCACAGUUGAACCAUAUUAUUAGGAAAGGCGCCUUGAUGAAAAGAUCAGGAUGGGAGCUCUGACCAUUCGUCAGUGUUUUCCCUAAAAUUAAAAAAAAAGAAAAAGAAAGAAAAAAA